rnacentral:sRNA from 1 species
AUGAUCUUUUUAAUGUGUUGUUGGAUUCUGAUUGCUGGAAUUUGUCUUUUCAAGAAUACGAGAGACUGAGCAUAUGACCUGGCAGCUCCACUCCUAAGAGUAUGUAUUAAAACAAAACAAAACAGAUUUUGAAAAAAAACAUGUAACUCAACCAUGUACUGCAGGGAGAUCAACAACAUCCUAUAAUGGCACCACACUCCGGUACUCUUGCCUGGAAAAUCCCAUGGA